AACCUAAUCUAAGAAACAAGGAUCCCCUGCCUCAUCUUAUAUGACUAAGACAACGCAUAGAAAUCAUUAUUAUAACGAAUAGACAUAGGCAUCAGACAUGAACAUGAAUCCAGCAAAUUCAAGUCACAAACAAGACAAAAUACAAUGCAUGUUUAAAGGUUCGUAAGACCACCUAGACAAUGUACAAAAAUGUGAAACUUGCACAUGACAUAAGGUUGAAUGCAAAAAAGGUUUGGGUAAACAUUUAACCCUAAAUCAGAAUGCAAAGAAGUCACAC
rnacentral:lncRNA from 1 species